rnacentral:rRNA from 1 species
AUUGAACGCUGGCGGCAGGCCUAACACAUGCAAGUCGAGCGGAGCGGCGGACGGGCGAGUAAUGCCUAGGAAUCAGACUGGUAGUGGGGGAUAACGUCCGGCAACGGACGCUAAUACAGCAUACUAUCAGAUGAGCCUAGGUCGGAUUAGCUAGUUGGUGGGGUAAAGGCCUACCAAGGAGACGAUCCCUAACUGGUCUGAGAGGAUGAUCAGACAAACUGAAACUGAGACACGGUCCAGACUCCGACGGGAGGCAGCAGUGGGGAAUAUUGGACAAUGGGCGCAAGCCUGAUCCAGCCAUGCCGCGUGUGUGAAGAAGGUCUUCGGAUUGUAAAGCACUUUAAGUUGGGAGGCGUUACCAGCAGAAUAAGCACCGGCUAACUUCGUGCCAGCAGCCGCGGUAAUAC